UGGCUCAGUCAGAAGAGCAUGAGACUCCUGAUCUCAGAAUCAUGGGUUUGAGUCCCAC
rnacentral:tRNA from 1 species